UUUUCGCUCCCGCCGCUUAGUUACUGGCAGCUCUGAAAGCGACAGUCGCCCGAGGGGUUUUCCCGUCACGUGGCCUUGAGACUGACACGAGGGUAGACAGACUCGCGUGCCUGGUAGAGCGCCGUAUAAAAACGAGGCACCGAGGUCCCCGAAAGCAUCAGAACACCCUCCUUGCAGCAUCAGCACCUUCGGAGUACCAGUUCAGCCGAAAUCAUGAUCGCCGCAAGCACCAAGUCCAUCCUUCUCGCACUCGUCGUGCUGGCCGCCCUGUGCAGCCUGGCAGCCGCCCAGUACGGCUACGGCGGUUACGGUGGCUACGGACGCGGCUAUGGCUACGGAGGCUACGGCCGCGGCUACGGUGGUUAUGGUGGCUACGGCCGUGGCUACUAUGGUGGCUACGGAGGCUACGGUCGGGGAUACGGCUUCUAUGGUUAAAGAAGCACCUAUGAAAGCCGACUGCCCCCCCCCCCCCCCCCCGAGACCAUGAAACGAUGCGCCCGCAACUGGAAUAAGCCUACGAAAGACGAUUCGCCGUGGAAUGAAUGACUACGUAGAAUAAAUUGAUUUCAUCAUCCUU
rnacentral:lncRNA from 1 species